GAGGAGAGGGGGUGUUGAUACACAGCUCCUUAUCCCGAGAGCAUCCCACUUGUUGGGGACCUAAGCUUUAACGGAGCAAUGUGUUGUAAGACGUUUAGUCAAAUGAUUAUUCAGGUAUGGGUCUCCAGUGUGGAGCCUGGGGAGGAAAUAUCUCAAAGAGCCAUUUCUAUUUCUUAAGCUCUUCAAUUACAGCCAACAGGAAGAAGGUUGCCUUCUGACGCAGUGAUACUUAAGGAUACCAUCAGGCCAGGAUGAGAUUAAUUCUGUGGCUUAUUUUGUCUUUAGACAGUUACCGUCUGUAUCUAUGGAUUUGCUCAUACAUAGAAGGUUUACGGGACCAGCUGGACCAAGACUGUAUCUCUGCUGUCUGUGUACCAUUUAUCUUUCUGAGACAGCCUCUCUCCCGUCACUCACGGCAGAGACCUAAUAUAUUCUUAAUAAGCCUCAAAUCUUCUUGCUUUGUCAAAAUUCAUACAUCUUUAAUGAUCUGAAAUUGCUUUUCAAAGGUGCUUAUGUUGAUUAUUUUUCAUUACUGACAUAUGCAAGUGGCAGUGGUACUCUUAACGGAAUGAUUUACAUGGUAGCUUUCGCAUGAGACACUCCGGGCUGCUGGCUGUGUCAUGUGGGUAAACAAACCCAUAAGUGGUUUUGACACAUCUGUACUGUGUAUAUAAAAGGAUCCUUCGCCUUGCCACAGGAUUCCAUUAGAGGCUUCUGAAUUGCCUUUAAAAAUAAGAACGUUUAUGGCUAAUUGACAAUACAUUACAAGGGAAAUUAAGGUGAAAGAAGAAAUGACAUUAGGUCUACUCUGCAUUCAUAACUUAGCAAGCAUAAUUCAUCUCUCAAGCAUUAAAGGAGAAAUGUAUUACUGCAUCAGACACUGAUACACAUUUUUAAUAAUUCCUUCUAAGUAUUAUAUAAUCUGCAAGAGUUCUAUAAUAGCUCAUUUGACUAUCUGCACGUAAUCAUAACGAUAUUAAUAAUCUAGAAUUUCCGAUUCAGGCAGGGUAGUGUUUCCAAGGGAAUUCUUAGUUCAUAAAAAUUAGUUACACUGAUUACAGCUGGCCAGUAUAUCAUGUGCUUUUUUAUAUCAGAUCUGCUACAGUUAAUGCAAACAAGAUAAAGAACAGAGCCUAUAUUCUAAUCUCUAUUAGUAGGUUUAAGGGGACUGAGCGUUUUCUGACCAGUCAGUCCUGGUUAAUUUAGCAAACAGCAUCAAUUAUGCAAAGCAAUGGGCUGAUGCACAGUAAAGGUAGGUCUGCCAUUGGCUCAGGUAGAUACCAAAGGGAGGAGCUGAAAUUAGAAAAUGCAUUGGAAGAUACACGGUAAAUCAUAAUUAGCACAACACUUUAACUUAUCAGAAGUAUUUUAACACAGUGUCCACGAAAACACUAUGAAGCAGCUAUGAAAGUAUGUGUACCGAGAAUAAGAUAUCAAGAUUUAUCAUUUUCAUAUCACGAGGAACAUAUUAAAUAUCAUAAAGAAUCACUGAUAGGUUAAAACUAAGACUAAAAAACAAUCACCUAUAUUUUACUUUCAAGGGUAAAGUUUGCGAUGAUGACCUCAAAAGCCUGAUCCUGAACAAUGAAAGGAAAUAUGGAUACACGAGGUUAAAAUAGUUAGGGAAAUAAUUGCAACAAUAAAAAUAUCAUUAUAGAAGCCAGGGCAGGAAAUAAUCAAAAAAAUGCAGGCAUGUUGCAAGAAGCCAUUAGGAAUAAUAAUCGUAAAAACAAUACAAUAUAGUUAAAAAUUAAUAUACCUAACAGUUGCUGAUAUGCACAUUAGGUUGCAGAGAAAUUACUUUGAAAGUGUAUGCUUAAAUGUAAAAGAAUACCAAGUAGUUGUACCAAAUUUUAAGGUCUUCCCCCCCCGCCUCCCCCAUGGAACUUUCUUAUAGGUGUGUAGGCUAGCCAUUUAAGAAAAGCUAUUAUUAUGUUUUAUUCAUGAAAUACUUUUCUUGACUUUUAGAGUGUUUAUCUCUUAAGGGGAUCCACGUAGAACACAGGGAGAGUAGUUCCAUAUUUCUUGUAGGGAGGUGAUUUCUCAAACUUUAUUUUGGGUUUCAUAUCCAAAAGAACCAGUGACAGAAGGAUUCUGAAAACCACACACACUACAAAUACAAGUGGUUGAGACGAUUCUAGACUCUUCUCUGAGCUCUGCCUCUGAGUGCCUUGGAGAUUACGAGCACUCGGCUGGUAUAACAACAGCUACUGGUUCCUACCUCUGACCCAGGUCGGCCUUUCUUUCAGUUUAGACCAGUUUCAGAAUGACCUUAGAACACGAGGUGCUCUCUUCCCAACCUUGCUUCUUGACGGUAAUAAAAAGGCUUUAGUUUAUGGUAUUAGGCUAAGCACUUUAUAUUACUCGUUUAUUUAAUCUUCAGCACCAGCUUAGGAUGUAAGCGUAACUGAGACAGCAAAUACAGAUGAGAGAGAGAGAGAGAGAGAGAGAGAGAGAGAGAGAGAGAGAGAGAGAGAGAGAGAGAGAGAGAACAAGUUAAGCGGGCCAGCCCCAUGGGCUGUCUGGCUCCAGACAUGGCUAAGAACCAUUGUCAUGAAGCCAUCUCUUUCCCCAGUACACACACACACACACACACACACACACACACACACACACACACACAUAUACACUGCUGCAGAAGGACCGCACACCCAUUAUUGACCUAAGAAUGCGAAUCAUUGCUAAAGCCAUGGGGAUAGCACCACCUUCUUUUAGAUGUCUUCCACAAGGCUCCUUUGAGUAACACCAAGGGAGUGUAUGAGUUAGCUAUACAUUGCUGUGACAAAAAUGCCAGUCAGAAGCAACUUAAAGGAUUGGACGAUUCAUCUUAGCUCUAUCUUUUAGAGGUACGAUGGGGGUGGGUGGCCAGGAAGCAGAGAAAAGGGAAUAUUGAUACUCACCCCCCCCCUUGUUUUUUUUUUUUAAUCCGUUUAAGUCCCCAGUCCAUGUUGGUGUCAUUCAGGACAGUUAUUCCUCCCCUAGUCCUCUGUGGCAAGGCCCCCACAAUUGGACACAGACAUAUGCCUCAACUUCCUGGUGACUCAGUCUAGCCACGUUGACAGUGAAGAUGAACUCACCCUCAAAACGGGUCUCCUUGCAAUGAAUGUCAGGAUGCAGAUGCCUUUCAUGGCUCUGACUAAUUCCUGGUUUUCACUGCCUCUUUCAAAAUAUGUCCAUUUGCACAGUGGCCCCUGGGACACAGCAAGUGAAAGACUAGGCACUAGGGGUCCCUGAUCUACUUGCUGACACUGGCGGGCAAUGACUGGGAGACUGUGGAAGUAUUGCCAUUGGAUUACCAGUCAAUAUGCUUUCAGUAUCAGCAAAGCAAAGGGCUGGUCCCGCAAUCUUUGGAAACGUGUCUCUCUGUGUCCUGUAAGAGAGAAUCCGUUCUCUUUUUAAGCCUUCUCACUGACUGGGGGGAAGACACACAGAGGUGGAUAAGAUGAUCUGCUACCUUCUGGCUCAGUACUGAGCUUGGGCUCUGAGGCCCUUAUGGAGUACCUGUUCACAGGGUUGCAUUUGCUUUCUAACACGAUGGUUAGGAAGGUACAACAUCACUUUGCAAGUUCCUCUAAGGACUGUCAUCAAAAUCUAGAGCUUUGAUGAGUUUUACAGAUGUAUAUGACUUUAUGCAUAAAUAGUCCUCAUUAGCGUCGGGAUAAUCAAUGUAUUCUUGUUGCCUGGUUCCAUAUAGUUUUAACACGUGUUAUGGAAAGUGAGGAAAGACAUGUCUUAUGAAGGCUUCUGUAUGUUCUAUGAAGAAGCGAUCUGUAGGGAAAGGAGAGGAAGUUUGUACUACUCAGUUCAUAAAUCCCCCCCUUCUCUGUCACCUAUCUGUCACCUAUCUGUCACCUAUCUGUUUCUCCCCCUCCCCCUAACACACGAGGGUGUUAACAGUAACUGCCAUUUGCUGUUAAUUAUAUGUGAAAACUACGCUAAGCAUUUACAAUACAUUAGCUGUUGCAUUUUCCCCCUCCUACGAGUUAAGAGGUAGAAGAAUCCUUAUCUUUCCAUUUUAGUGGCAAAGAGAUAGAGGCACAGGACAGGGGACUGACUUGUCUAGGCUGAACCUGCAGGCAACUGGGAAAGCACCGAGAGUCCCACUUUGAGUCAGCCAGUCACGUGUACAGCUCAGAAGACACAGGGCUGUGUACCUGUGUGAGGCCGAGCAUGCGCAUCAUCUGUUUUGGGAUUGGUCCGGGGAAUGUCUGACCAAGGGGAAAGCAUUACUUCAUCACUGCAGAUGAAGGGAAGACUGAAUACAAGCUAACUUGAACCACUAACCCACCGAUACCCCAGUGCACGUAACAGUACGUUACAGCUUUUGGCUACGAACUGCUGUAACGUGCAGUCUUGAAAACCAGUAGGCAGGCAGGUAAAAAUACACACACAACCCAAAGGGCUGAAGACAAGAACAGAAGCAGUUCAGCUGGCCUAUAAACGCCGCACCAGGAGGACCUGCUCAGCAGUAUAACCAAGGAAGGCUGUUCACUUUUAAAAAGGAAUGAAGUCAAAGAAUAUACAUGUCUGUCUUCUUUAGGGAGGAACAUGGAUGUCUCAAAGGCUACUUGGCAUGAUAUCGAUUCCAAAUCACCAAUACGCCGAUUCUCAUAAACACAGAGAAGAGACGGAGGCAACCAUGUUGGCUCCAUGUAUAUUAAGUAGCUCACGAGGGAAAAGGGAAAGUGUCUGUGUGUGCAUAGCUGCUGAUGUGUUUGGUUAGGAACAAUUCCCACUGUUUCCGCCGUCGACGGAGUGCUUGGUCGGAACACAUUAAAUUGUACAGUAUUUCCACGGGACUGCUGAAUUAACUCUCAGAUUUAAGUUAGACAUAGGCAAACAAUAGAGGAUUGAGGACACUGGAAAUAUUUCUCUUUUUAAAGACAACAGUCGGAGCCUAGGGGUCUAUCUUCAGAAGAGGUUAAUUCACUCAGAGGGGUGCACACUAAAGCAAGGAGGUACUCCUCGCUGCGGCUAGGAGUGCGAAGUCCUUGGCAGGGAGGGCAGAGUUUGUAUGUAGCAUUGUGUGCUUCACAAGUUCUAAAACGCAGAUUUAAGAAAAAAAUGAUUCACAUUAGUAUCUCAUUAAAGUUGUAAGUAAGCAUCAUUCUUAGAUUAUUCAUGCGCCAAGCCCUAGUAGGGUGACAGAGAAGCUACCGUCUGCAAAUAAGUAUAUAUUAAAUCCAUUUAUUCCAAUCAGCAACCGUUUAAAUCAGCGUGCAGGCCGCAUACCCAUUGAGUUGAUGUUCCUUAAUUGGUACUCACUGUGAGGUUUUAUUACUGAUUACUAUACCAUAAAGGAUUAUGAUACUGACAUCAUUUUAAACACCAUAAAAUAAUUCUAUAUUCUUAAGAGUUUACAUAGGUCCAUUAAAAUAUACUUUACAAAAAAAAAAAAAAACCCCGAGAAUUUUUAUUCUAAGAUCAGGGAAAAGCAUUUAAAAUAUUCCACACCAUCUAGGAAAGCCAAUGAAUUUGAAUUUCAGCAUCUAGUAAGUGUGAGAUGGUGUCAUAUAAAGAAAAAUAGCUUGUGUGCAUAUGUGCAUAGUGUGCUUUCUUAGAGACCAUUUACUCCCCAAAACUGGCCCCCUUCUGAAGACCUGCUUCAAAUAUCUUUGACAGUUUGGGUAUUCCCUGUUUUUGUUUUGUUUGUUUGUUUGGGUUUUUUGUUUGUUUGUUUGUUUGAGACAGGCCUUCUCUGUAUAGCUCUGGCUGUCCUGGAACUCACUUUGUAGACCAGGCUGGCCUUGAACCCAGAAAUCCGCCUGCCUUUGCCUCCCGAGUGCUGGGAUUAAAGGCGUGCGCCACCACUGCCCGGUGGGUAUUCACUCUUUACCCCCUCUCUGUUUUUGUUUCAGUUUGGAAAUUUGGUGUAUGACAUUUCUGGAUGAAUGCAUUGUUCCUCACAUUAUCCACGCAGGUAAAUCACUAUGCUUUGGUUUGGAAUGCUACUCAAAACAAGACGUCCCCACAGAGUGAAAUGGUCACUUCCUGACUUAAACCAGACUAUAAUAAUUCAGAUCACAGAGAAAAGAUGCUUUGGGACUAACUACAGUAUUGUAAGGACAGCACUGUCAUUAAAGGGCCACUAUGAGUUAGUUACAGGGCCUCCUUACAGGACAGUAUUUGGUAUUUCCUUCAGUUUAAAAUUAUAUGCCCAAAUGAAGACUAUAUAUUUACAAUGGGGGUACUCAGAAUGCCUGCCCAGACACAUGGAUGUCAACAUAUGCAGAACUUGUCACAAGAGAAGCUAUUGUCUGGCACACACUGUGUCGAGCUUUGUAAUAGUCUUCGAAUGUGGCACGAUUCCUCCUGUUGGAUCAUAUACAGAAACAUGUUACCAACACAUGUCUCCUUUAGUUCCCAGUCCCUGGGUUUUACUGGAUGACAUAAGGGAAAACCCAGCUUGGGAUUUUGUGAUUCAAGAAGGCAGGGGUGGGGGUGGGGUAAAGGACAGGUGUAGUUUAGUAUUCUGAUGUGGGAAAAAAAAAACUAGCCAGAGAGCACUGCUAAUGUUACUCAAAUGGAAUGAGGGUGUAGCUCUGUGUAGAGCAUAUGCUAACUAUGUACAGGGCCCUGGGUUCGAUUCUCAGGACGCUCUCAAAAGUAUAGGCUGAGGACACAUCUCAGUGGGAGGGCCCAUGCUUACUGUGUGUAAGGCCCUGAGUUCAAGCCACAGAACACACAUAUGCGUGCUACAAAAUUUUAUGCCAAGAGUUAUGUAUUUGAAACAAGAACUGCAGUGUGUCAUACAGUGCUAAAACACCAAUCAGAACUGGGGCUGGAGCUGUGUCCCUUUACCUCAGCACUUGGGAAGCAGAGGCUGUGAGUUCAAGGCCAGCCUGGUUUUCAUAGUGAGUUCCAGGACAGCUACAGCUAUCCAGAAGAACCGUAUCUCAAAAAACAGACAGACAGACAGAAUAUCAGUCAGAGGAAGGUACUGAUUUGUUCAGAAUGGAUCAGGGGCUACCUAUAAUCACUACUUCACUCGUCUUUAUGUAUUUGAAAAAUUCAAUACUUGGGCUGGGAAUGUAGCUCAGCUGCUGCUGUGCUUGUCUAAGAUGCAUGAAGUCCAGGGUUCAACUCCCAGAAUUACAUAAAUCAGAAUGGCUGUUUUAUGUAAUGGUGCAUGCUUGCAAUCCCGGCACUCAGUGGACAUAGAAGUCACCUCCUAUCAGAAGUUCAGAGUCAAAAUAUGUGACUUAUGGAGUUUGAGAGCAUCUUAGGUGACAUCAAAUCCUGCCUCACCAAGUUAAUAAUUAAUAUUUAAAAAUUCAAAAGAAGGGAAAGUUUGUAGACUGUCAAUUAGGUGAAUAGAGCUUUGGGUCUUUCUUACAUCAGUUUUCGUUUUAGGUAGGAAAACUUUAAUUAAAAAGAUCAAAUUGUCUUUUUCACUCCACCCAGAUAAACUAUAACUCAUUUAAAUAUGUAGACGAAAAUAGUUAAUUUUUGAAAGAUGACUUAAAUAGAAUGCCUUAUCCCUGAUUCUGAGGCGAGAAAGUGCACAAAAGUAUACAGAUAACUUUCUAUACCUUCUCUCUAUGGGCAUACACUGAUGACAAGUAUAAUCUACCCAUUUUCUACAAGUGCAUUGUUUAGUGGCCAAAGCCUGUAUAAAGUAUUUAGCCUAAUCAUUUCAGGUGAUAUAGAAACUAGAUAUAAACUUAAAUUUUGCAAAGGAAAACACAUUUUUUCAAUAGUUUCCAACCUCUUCAAAUUCUUCCCAGUAUAAUUAAUGUUCUUUAACAUUUUUUUGUUUUUGUAAUUGUUAUUUUUAUUUGAAAAACUUUAAGCACUAUUAAUAGAUAUAUUUCAAACCUUGCUAAAAAUCUUUCAAACUUCCUUGAAAUAAAAUUAUAAACACAAGGCAUUUUAUUACUGAGCAAUGACUGUUACUUCAUAUGUUUUUAUGGCGAUUCAGAUUUUUAUGACAAAUGGUUAUUAGUUUAUUAUGGAAAAAAAGAAUUUCUACUGUAUGAAAACAUACAUGACCAACUUAGGAAUGAUGUACCAGGCAGCCUCAGCUAGUUCUUCAGCGUAUGAGCUCAGGAAUAGCUCUUGCGGGGUUGGAAUGGGGUUCUCUUGUACAUCAGCCAUAUAGCCAUAGAGAAGGUCUACAGAUUAAGUUCUCUGAACUGCGGUUUCCUGAAGGUCUAAUAGCUUUACCUUAUAAUACAGCCAAUCUAUGAAGACCACUCUAUAUUAGAUCUCAGCCCAUGGUAUACACUUAGCAGGUAGUAGGGAUUCAUCUUAUUCACAGUUUAUAAUUGAAAAACCCAGACUUAUGAGGUGACUUAUAAUAAUGAUUAGGAUUAAUAUUAUAUGUUAUUACUAUCAUAUGAUAUUAAAUAUACAACAACAAUAAUAAUGGUAAUUAUUGCUAUUAUUUUAAGAAACCAAAAAGAAGGGAAAGUUUGACUUUAAGCAAACGACCUUGGGGCUGCUAAUAAUUUGUUUUGCACACUGCUUACAAUGCCAGGAUGGGUCCCUCAUUCUUCAGCUCAAUAUACAUUCUGUUGGUAGGAACCACAUUUAUAUGAAUGAGUUCAUUCUCUGAGGGGAGCACAACCCCAUUUUGUGUGUGUGUGUCUGUGUGUGUAGAAAAAAGUUUUCCUCUGUGUCAUUCAAAUCAUCCCAUUGACUUAGCGACAUGAUAUUAAAUGAUUUGUGAUUCAACUUUUUAAAUGAAAGCAUCCUACUACUUCCACUAUUGGCUUCAUUUCAGGAAGGUAAAUUAACAUUUUCUAAAUGAGCUUGAGUGUCCACAUAAGUAUCCAAACCACCUACUCAGAAGUCUAUGCUAGCAUUGCAGUAACUAAAUGGGAACCAGGGCCUUUAACUGGCCUCUUUUACAUGCACGCCUCUAUCCGUGUAUUGUGAGCUUGCUGAGAAUUUUGCAUUCUAUUUUCACUCCGAAAUGUACCAAGCAGAUGGAAUAUACAUUGUUAACUAUAAUAGCAGAGUGCGAUAAAUUUAAAUUCGUGCCUCGCCAUUUUGGAAUAAAAGAAGACCAUUCUCAGCCUAGACAAGCUUUUCAGAAGUGUGGUUGUCCCAUGCAUGUGAACUUGAGUAUCUGGACUUCCUCUGUGUGGCUUGGGCUUAUACUGGCCACAGCCCGAAGGACACCAGAUUGACGCACUAGGAUGAGUGUAUAAAAUCACCACGUAGAUUUUUCUCCUUUCACAUUUUAGGCCAGCUAUACUGGUACCAUGUUCCUUCCCAUGGGCCAGGGUAUGGGGCCUGGAUGACUUGCCUUCAUGAUGACCAUUGCUGGGGACUCUUCUGACCAGUCAAGAGCCGGGAAAUGUCACAAUCAAGAGAUUGUGAAAUGCACUGCUUUCUCCCUCAUUGUUCAUGCAGGGGACUAAUGAAUGGAUACCUGCUGCCAUUAAUCCGCAAUUAGAUCACAUGUUUAACUGCAUGUUUUCUAUGCACGCAUAUAUAAAUAUUAAUUUCGGAUAGGAAGGGAAUCAUUCCGACACCAUAACAAUUAAACAGCUGUAACCUGUCUCGUGUGUUAAAGGAUGGAGCUUCGGGCAAGCUUCAUAGGCAGAUGGUUUUACCCACCCAUACUUAAUGUUAAAGACUUUAAAAAAAAAAAAAGAAUAGAAAAGAAAAAAAAGAGGUGUUGACAAAUCAGAACCAGUCUGCAUAGUUUUAAUGCAAAUCGGUCAAUUUGCAAUGUAGAUUGCCCUAAAAAACUAAUUUGGCGUAUAGGAAAAAAAUUAAGCUCUGCUGUUAAAGGAAGGCAUUAUAUCACAUUUGGAGGUAGUAGGUUCCCCACCAACACAAUUAUUUACUAAUUUCAUUCAACCAACAGAGUUUAAUGGAGAAGCAUCUGACAAUGUACUCAUAUUUAAGGGCCUCCUUUGCUCCUUAAUUUACCCAAGGCACACGCCUGUUGAAUCCGAGAAACAUCAGCUGUAUUUCAGAUGGUUGUUUUCCACUUUAAAGGGGCACUCAAACAGGAGAGGGUCAUCGACCCUCUUAUGAAGAACCGUAGGAAAGAAAUUGGCUUCAGUCACACCAGUAUCUGUGAAUACUGUCAACAGACCAGGGUUUGGGGGGGGGGGGCACUGCUUUUCGGAUGAGCUAUUAGCACAGGAAAAUUUCUCUUUUGAAAUUAGGUAGGUCCCUAUGACUGUCUAAGAAACACCUGUCCUAUGCCUGGUUCUAUUGGCAGUAGAUAGUGCAAGAAGAGACCCACAAGUGGCUAAGGUGCAGAGAAUAAGAGACCACAGAAUGCUUAGCCUAAAUGGGACAUAUCUACUAUGCCUCCUCCCUGAAAGACACAGGGAUCAUAGUGGAAGAGGGAGUAGAGAGAGUGUAAGAGUCAGAUAUGGUGGACGACUGCAAAGAAACUGUCUUCUGGACACAGCAGGGCAGCUACACAUACAAGACCCCAGCAUGCCCAAGCCAGACUGAAUCCCAGCAUGGGAAUGGGAGCUGUUUGCAACUGCUGGGAAAGAGAGAGAGUUCUCUCCAAGGGUGAGGCUCCUCAUAAGUUGGCCACACUCCAGUGGAAACAGACCUAAGAAUACUAGGGCAACACAAACUGGUCUUGAUGGGUUUAAAGGAAUGGACCCAAAUUUGAGUGACUAGGGGAGUGUGGUUAAUAUGCAUAAGAAACUCUCAAAGAACUAAUACACUUACAGAAACUUAUAUAGGCACAAGCCUUUAAUCCCAACACUUGGAAGGGAGAGGCAGACAGAUCUCUGUGAGUUCGAGGCCAGCCUGGUCUACAGAAUGAGUUCUAGGACAGCCAGGGAUACACAGAGAAACCUGCACUGAAAAACAAACAAAACUUUAUAUAGAUGAAGGUGAAAGCAACCAGCAACUAAAUGGCAGGUGAAAAGGAAACUAAGAGGCUGCUUUCCACUUGUCUUACGCACGAAAGGAAAGUCUGCCCGGGCAAGACUGAGUCGACGCUGCGUGGAGGAGUGAGACAGUGUUUGGAACUGGGGGCUUUAUUCUCUCACCCUUACAAUAAAGCAAAUCAAAAUCUACUGUGUUGUGUACAUAGUGAGCAAGCAUGCAAUGUAUCUAUUAUCUCUCCCUAUCUAUCUAUCUAUCUAUCUAUCUAUCUAUCUAUCUAUCUAUCUAUCUAUCUAUCUAUCUAUCUAUCUAUCUAUCUACCGUCUCUCUUGCCCUCUCUAUCUAUCCAUCCAUCCAUCUAUCCAUCCGCCCACCCAUCCAUCUAUCUUUGAGAUAAGGUCUCUCACUAAACCUUGUGUUCACUGACUGUCAAGACCGUUUGGCCAGCAAACACUUGAGAUCCUCUUGUCUGCCUCCCAGUGCUGGGAACAUAGAUGCAGUACCCAUGCUAAGCUUCUUACAUGGUGCUGAGGAUCUCUGCUCAGGUCCUCAUGCUUGUAAAACAAGUACUUUACUCUGUGAUCAAUUUUCCCCAAGCCUCUAACUUUUUAUUCACCUCCUUAGAAUGCUAUCAUUCUUAGCAUAUAAAAAAAAAAAUCACCUAAACUGCAUAUUAGUUCCUCCUUAGCUGCCUGGCUCUUUAAGUUACCUGGGUAGAGUUUUGGGAAAGAUGUAGCAACUUCAUAUAAGCUUUCCCUUCUUUGCGCAUGCCCCGAAAUAGUUGAAAACAAUAUUGUGCAUGUGGCUUCAAUUCCUAACGCUGUGGCUCUUUACUUCCCAACUAAAAGGCUUCUGAGGAACUUAGCCAUAACUGAAGAGAAUAUUUUUUUCUUUUCUUCUCCGUUCAACUGUAUAUCUAGACAAUUGAGUUUUAAAACCACUGAGAUGAGAGGUUUUGGUGGUAACUAAAAUCUUAAAGAUGGUUCUUAAAUGAUGCAAUCAACAAGGCAUUCCACGUUGAAAAUGAUAUUCCAGCGUGUUAGCACAGAACCAAUGGCAAGUUUACAUAAAACAGUAUGAUUUGAAAACUGAAAUGUACCUCAGUAAGCCUUUAUUCAGUGUUAGGGAUUGAGAAAUGUUACCCCAAAGCAUGGUGCUUGAUGUGUUAAGUGCUUUGAUCUGAUGGUGAAUAAGGUUUCUAGGACCUCCUUCUACCUGCCACCCCCUUAUGGGUGGCAGAGGGGGAUGUUUCUGCAGUUGUUUGAUCUUCCUAAGGUAACUCCCUCUUGGAGAAGCAGUAAGUCCUGGUCCUGGAUGCCACAAACAUCUUAUUAAGCAGAGAGUCUGGCACUUGCCCUUCUAGGAAGUGUUACUUGCAUUUCUUUUGUGUAUUUGGCUCCUUCCAUCUCUAAGGUUUGCAUCUCUUGGGAGUUUCUAGGUCUCUUGUCACCUUCCCCAGAAAAAUCUUAAGUCUAUCUUUCUGCAGCUUUUUAUACUUGAACCAUCUGACCCCCCUUGACUUUUCGUAUUACGUGUUAAGUCACCAUGCAAACUUGUACAGCAGCAACAUAUUUAUAUCUUACUUUCCCAUUAAUCUGUUAGUUUGUUUCUGUUACAAAACUGUCCUGUUUAUCUGUCUCUGGACAUCCUAUUUAUAUUAUAGCCUUGAGUUACUAAGUCUUCAGGAGGUGAGUUGAAACCUCUUUCCUCCCCUGCAUCUGUUAACAUCUUUCAGAAAACGCUUAAGCAAAUGAACUGACUUACAAUGAGAAUGAGACUUAAGGAAUGACGGAACUCUUAGACACGGCAUAGAACAUGUUAAUUUAAGUUAAUGGAACUCUUAAAGUCAAUGGAAAUCUUAAGUCAAUAAAAAUCACAGACACAGUAGAGAAAUUAUCAAUUUAAAUUAAUGAAUUAAGACAAUUCCUUGAAGGCUGACAAUACAGCUUGGGGGUACAUAACCUACUUGGCAUGUGUCAAGUCUUGGGUCCAAACUCUAUCAGCACCGUCCCAACCCCCUCAAAUCUUAAGUAAUUAUGAUUUAGAAGUUGGUUUCCCCUACACAGAAAGUUAGCUGAGCCCUAACUAAAACUCGCUAGGAAACGAUGCAGUCUCCGGUGGGAUUUACAUAGAAACUAGGAUGAGAAGGCAAAAGGUUGUUCAGAUCUGAGAACUGACAUUCUCAGGCCGAUGAUGCUGUCGCCCCCUAAUAAAUCUCAGUACCAAGGACGGAAAACAGUGAGACUAGGCUGAGAAGGGCGCUCCAACAGCAAAUGCUGACUAUGCUCGGAUUUCAACCCAUCCUUAGGGAAAAGGAAAUGGGUAUACUAAGAAAUAACCCCACCCGGUGACUGGAGAACACCUGUCACAACAGCCAACUGGAUGGUGAUUUUACAAAUGCUAUAGAAAACCAGGUGCCAAGGCAACUGAAGAUUCAAAUCUAAGCUUUUUUUUUUUUUUUUUUUUUUUUAAGGAUUUGAAUGGUAUGAGAAGAUAAUUUAAUUAUUUGAUACUUUAUGUAUUUAUUAAAUCAUGAUACAUACAUCAUAUAAAGGGAAGUCUAUAAGGAUACAGAAGGGCAGAACAGAACAGAAUACUAUAGACGAUGCAAUGUAUUUCAAAACCAUCCAAAGAAGAGUGCACAUUUACUACAACUCUGUUGCUUUAUGGGUAUGGGUUAUAAAGCAGAAAUCAAGUGACUCAAACCCUUUGACAGGUAGCAUUUGAGGCUAACCCAUGUCAGAAACACGGAGUCUCAUUGAAUCAGGCUCCACCAGGACCUCUGAAUCAGUUUCCAUUGGCUGAGUGCUCACUCACUCAGCAGGUAAAAGACACGGACAGAAAGCACGGUUCUACCACUGUUUGCACCCUUGGCCAGCACUGAGUUGAACCCACAGCUCCAAGGCUUUCUGUGAUGAGAUCAGUAUACGUUAAAAAAAAAAAUCAAAACAAAACAAAGAGUGAUUCAUAUGGUCAUAUGGGAGGGAGAAGAACCACUUGAAGGUGAAAUAAACCACACCAAAAUAGACACCCAACAUUCCUUCCUCGCAGACCUGACACAGGCUGAGUGGCGAAACAUGAACAUCUCUGACACACCUUUUAGAGUAAAGAGAGCACUGACAUCCUAAUGAGAGAGGGUGCCCAUCUCUUAGAGAGGUCAGAGAAAGCAGGUUUGCACUUGUGGCAAAGGGACUAAAUGACCUAAUUUAAGAAAAUUACCAAUUCCGAAGGUAUUAUGGAAGAUGAAGUAGUGUAUAUAAAACCAUUAAAUGAAUAACUUAGGGCUCAAAUGAGAAAAAUAAUGUCGGAGAGGCCCCAGAUGGACACUCAGGUUAACCUCGACAGAAGAAAUCAGACAUCAGAAAUCCAGACUGGCUUCCAGAACACGGAUGAUGCUCAGUCAGCUUAGAAGGGGGCUUCCCUCCAUUCCCUAGGGGGCCAGUCUGCUGGAGUCACAUCCGACUUUAUAUCAGCUUAGCAUUGAGUAGCUCAUUCCUUAACAAGCCACAAUGCUAUAGGCUCCACGGAAAGACUUUCAGCCUACCUGACUCUCUACUGCCCAGCAGGCUCAGGAAAGUGUCCUUCAGAUCAACCCCGUACUUCACGGCUCCAUGCCGACCCGCCCUGCACAAGGGGUCACAGAUCACCGUGAAGCUAUUGGCUUUACCCCAAGCAUCCUGGGAAGACAAGGAGUUAAUCCUGGUACCCAGCAGGCAUCCCUGAUUCUCAGAGGGAAUGAGUAGAACCUGAGAGAUGGUUCAGGAAGAAAGUAGUGAUUGGUGUCAGUCCAUUAACCAUCAGCCCAAAUGCUCCAGUAGCAGCAGUAAUGGUAAGACGCCUCCAUGUGGGGUUUGCUCUGUGCCAGGGCUGUGCCCACUACAAUUUUCCUCUGCCCAACACUCUCAGCAGCUCCAGGAGGGAGCUAGGUCUCUUUAUUCCCACUUUACAAAUGAGGAAACAGAGACACAGGAGACCUGUGUACCUUCCUAUCAUGCCAUAGAUAGCACAUGAUACAGCAUGGGGGGACGGGGGGGGGGAGGAUUGGGGGUUCAGGGUGGCGGUUGGGGACAGGGUAGAUUUAGUUUAUUUGGGGUGGUGAUGGUUGAAAUGCUUACAACGUGGGAGGAGAGUCUCUUCAGGAAAAAUAACCUCAAGAUAGAUGAAGUGCUGUACCAGAGUAAAGAAUUAUUUGGAACAAGGAAAAUCACCGCAAAGGUAGAAGAAAAUUUAAGUUGAGGAAUAGCACACAUGUCAGAAAAGCUAUACAAUGUUUACUAAAUGACAGCCAUGUCUCUAAACAGCCAUUUUCUCCAAGACUGCCGGACAACACUCACUUUGUCUCCUUAAAACAACAAUGAUUUUGUAAUAUUUCUGUAGAGUGGAGAAAGAUAACUUGGUCUUCAUUCAAUGUGAAGUAUAACACACAGCUGUGCACAAGGGAAAGUGUGCUGGAGAGGAGGCUGGAAUAUGAAGAGACAGAGGUCCUAAGUGAUUUGUAAACGUCAUAGCAAUACAUGGCUAGAUGAAGUCCUGGUCCCUCAGUGAGGCCUUAGAACAGGCUGGUAGGGAUGAGAGACCCUGAUGCUUAGGCUUCUGCGACUGCCCAGUAAAGCUGGCUUGGCCCAGGACUCAGGUACCAUGGCAUGAUUGUUCUCUUACCUACUCUUCUCUAUUGACUGACAGGAAACUGAAUGGUCCCAGCGUGUUGGUAUACAGAUGUGUAGUAGUGUGUAUGUGUUGAUUACAAAUAGCAUUUGAACAAAAAGAUACUUUAAAAAUUCCAUGUGGUCUUAUUAUAUUAAUUCUAACUUUUUUGGGGGGUGGGGGGAGAUACUACGAAAAAACCUGCUGAAAGUUCCCAAACAACUAAAUUUGUAAUGUAAACAAAGCACUCAUACACUCUUAUUUUUCCCAACUGUCACAUGGUUUUUCCACGUGAAUAAAACUACUACUCUUACACUAUUGCUUGAGGUAAGAAUGGAACAUGUGGCCACGCUGGCAAAGGCUUGGAUCCUUCCCUCUCCCAUACUCCCUAGCUGCUACAGUUCCUUGUCUGUUUCUCGUCUUCCAUACCCCAAAGAUCAGGGCAACCACACUGUUUAACAGGAGUUUGUGGAGUACAGUAUACCUAAGUUUUGUCUGGGCAAACAAGCACGUCUUUGUGAUCAUUCAUGAUUGUGUUUCCCGAUGUUCUAAGGAAUUAGAAUAAAAACAAAUAGCUGGAUUGUAGCAUAAAAAAUUAGUAUUUCCCCUAGGUCAAAUUUCCAUUUGAAUCGCCUCAAAAGAACAACAACAACAACAACAAAAUCAAUGCUGUUCAAUAGACAACUCUGUAUUUGAGACAUUACUAGAAGAAAAAUAUCAUGAUAUAUCUUCCCUUCCCUUUAUAUCAUGAUUUCAAAAACAACUCUUUAAACCCGACCCAGACACACACGGCUUCUUAUUAACCAAUAUCCACCCUGACAUGAGGCAAGAAUUCUGUUAACUCUUUAAGUAAAUGCCCCUGGCAACUUGUUUUUUAUUGUAGAUUUUUAAGAUAGUGACUCCCUAGGUUCUUGGGAUGGACUUGAACUUGUGAUCCUCCUGCAUCAGCCUCCUGAGUGCUGGGGUUAUGGACCGUACCACCAGACUUUACUGGUUUCACAAUAUGUUAAUACCUAAGCCACGGUCUGAGCUGCAGUUUGUCUCUUUCCUACUUACCAAGAAAAUUGAGACUCAAAGCUAUUAACUUUCCUUUAUAAGCACUAGAUUAAGUGCUAUAAUUCAUAGGAUAGCGUUUUUCUCUAACCGAAACAAUUCUUUGAUGUAUGUAACGUUCACAUUCUUCGUAAGAGGAUACAAAUAUAGAGUGACAAUGGAUUAAUUUCUCAAUGUCAUUUAAUUGUUCAGCAAGGACAUAAGUCCACAAGUUCUCAGACAUUCGAACACUGUAUUCUAAAAUCACACAUAAAUAUUAAUUAUCAUAAUCACUUUACAUUGGAAAAAGACUCCAACUAAGGCAAAGAACAGUUAAGACACUAGUCAUGCUGAACCCCCAAAAUGACUUAAAGACAUUCAGAGUCUGUGUAUUAAAAAGAUGUUACAGCGCCUUUUAAAUGGAACAGUAUUUAGUACGUAUAAUAGAGACGCCAUUCCAUGGUACUUAAUGGGCAAAAUAAGUGAAUUCGUAUGGAAAAAGUAAUGGGGGUGGGCAGGUGAUAUCUCGGGAUAUCACAAAGUGGUUCUCGGGACUUCUUCAGAAGUGAAGACGAUUCCUUCCUGUGGCAAAAGGAAACUGAGGUGACGAGGGAACCCCGUGCUUAGGUCUACUACCUCCGCAUUGUCAACAGAAACCAUCAACAGCUAAGACAUCCCAAAACUGCAAAUGACCUGGAGAAUCUUUCGGAUCCAAGAGACUACUUAAUCCUUUGGGAUAACGGACGGAAUGGAAGGAAAUUAAAAAGCACCCCACUUCUAAAAUUAACACGAAAGGGAAAACGGAAUGGCCAAUCUCACACACCUACCGAAUUCUGACAGACUGUUAAGGCUUACUGGAAUGGAGAUUCAACUAUUUCAAAGGGGGCUUUUCCCGAGAUUUAGGUAUGUUCUCUAGCCCGUCAUCUUCCCUGUUACUAAUAUAAGCCCAUUUCCUCCCUUUCGGUUCUCUGGAGAAAUGAAAAGCACCAGUGGGUUUGAGAAGACCCUCAGCCAUCCUCAGAGCUGGCAGAGCUGAGCCUUCUUGUCCGUGACACCUAUUCAUGGGAGAGAACAGUCAAGUGUUAUUCAACACCCCUACGGCCUGUUCACGACUCAAUCUCAUCUCUGGUCUCCAAUGCACUCAGAUAGGCAUAAAUGGAUAACGAAGGGAAAAAUCUUUUCAAUGGAUGCUAAAGAGAAAAGGCCUUGUGGGAGUUAUAGAUUGAUGAAUGCUCAAAAACGAGGCAGUUAGGACUUCUCCCUGCCCAGGGCAUUCAGUUAGCUUUGCACUCCGCUAAUAAGCAACAUGCAGACGUGGAGACAGGAUUUGCUUUGUUUCUGUGGCCACUAAAGUAGAGUCACAGGCCGACGGCAGACAACUCUCCUUUCUUUUACCUGAGACAAGUGGUUGAACCAAACCGACCAACCGAGUUGCCUUCACAUAUCUAAGGGUUCUAAGUCUAUUCCAGUUAAACACAGGGAUAGGAACUCACUCGGUCUGCUCAAAACUCACCAGUAUCUCGCAGUUUACAGAUUUGAACUUAUCAGAUACUAGUUUUAAACCUGACUCACAUCAACCCUCACAGAGCACAAUCGUCUAAUCCUCUUAAAUAUCGUGAUAGACACGUGAUACUCAAAUUACGGCAAUUGUUGUUUAGAAGAUAUUUAAUUCCAGUCCACAUGAGUUUUUUCUGGUUUUUUUUUUGACUUGCUUCUGGGGUCCUCUAUGCUAUCCUUACACACUUCCUACCUCUAUGCUAUCCUUACACACUUCCUACCUCUAUGCUAUCCUUACACACUUCCUACCUCUAUGCUAUCCUUACACACUUCCUACCUCUAUGCUAUCCUUACACACUUCCUACCUCUAUGCUAUCCUUACACACUUCCUACCUCUAUGCUAUCCUUACACACUUCCUACCUCUAUGCUAUCCUUACACACUUCCUACCUCAGGAGAAAUAGGGGAAUCCUCCCUCCCACAGAUAAGCCACAGCCCAACACGACUGUUACCACGAUCUCGGGGCUACACUAGUGUUAUGGGCUGUUAGCGUCAAGCCAUGUCAAUGACAAGUACUGCUGCCUGUACAGAUGUGGCACUUUCUGCUUCUUUAUUCAUAAAAGGGCCCAAUAUUCCUAAGUGCCUUCCUGGGGGGGGGGUUGGGGCGGGGAGAGAAAGAUAUCCCUUUUUAUCACAAUAUUCCUGAAAAAAAUCAGUCUCCUAUUGUUUUAUCUUUCAUCUGCACAUAUCACGAGUAAAAGAGUAACCGAAGCAAGGAAGACUUGGCACAAGCCCUGUGGAUGAACACGUCUACUUUGCGGAACUCAUCAUUUGUAAAGAGGAAGAUACGACCACACUAAUAAAAAUAUCAGCAUGAGACUCUCUAUGUGAGAGCAAGUGUCCAGUGAGUAUUCUGCAUUCCCAACUCUUUCACUACCAGCAUGCCCAUGAUGUUAUGAAAGCAGGAACCGAGUUUAUGAAGACAGUCAGGUGACCAAUGAAUACUCUUCUGCUAUCUGUCGAGAACCCGUGUUUGCUCCUCCAACUCUCUUUCAAUUAACCUCCCUGUUUGUAGUCUAUGGAAUGACUCGAAAUAUGGAGAAAGGAAAAUAAAAUCCCGAUGACUUAUGAGGAGUCUCUCGCAAGAUGACAGUUUCUUUCAGCCAGAUACGUGUUGGAACUGAGAGGAACAGGAAGUAACAGUCCCAAAUGGGGACAGGCUCCACCACUUCCUGGCUGCCUUGCCAGCGGCUCACAAGUGGCCCUUGGGCUUCACUGUGACAUGCACAAAAGCAGACAGGAGAAGGGCAAAACUGGAAUCAUUCUAGCAGCAUGAAGGAUCAAAGCAGGACUAAAGGGAUUGCUACACUCUUCUUUUAGGUGCUGCUGAGAAUUGAGCCCAGGGGCUUCUGUAUCCUGGAAAAACAUUUUACCACAGAGCUACGUCCUCAGCCCUACACAUCCAGCUAGAAUUAAUUUAUGAAGUUGAGUGAGAUAAGAAGCAUCAUCGUGUCGUCUUGUCUCUGCGGUGGGAGGACUCAGAUUCUGGUGAAGAGAUGUUUGGACCCAGGGGCGCUGGACUGUCCUUUGUGCUUUCAGAGAAAGAGACAGAAAACCUGCUUGUCAACUGUUGCCUGCCUUAGUGUAGCUUCAUGAGUCUCCUGUGGGCCCUGCCCUAGAAGCCAGCAGAAGGGAGAGCCAUGUCAAAGCAGGGAUGAACACUGAGCAAGAGUUAUGAAUACGGAUGUUUGGGGAUGAUUGCGGAAGACAGAACCGCUCCUUAGUGUCAGCGAGUCACCCCUAAGGGUCUUGUAGAGGUGAUGGUGCAGAAGGCAUGUUAGAAGCUGGUGGGGCUGGGUCUUGUGUGGCAUCUAAAAAGUGUGGGCACUCCCUAUAUUGCUACAGGUUCUGAGUCUAGAAGGAGCCCUAAAUGCUUGCUCUUCUGAGAGUCUGAGAUGACAGCGAUCAUGGCGAACAGAAGACGGUCCUCAAGCCCAAACCCUUGCACCUUCAGUUUCAAAGGCUUUCUUCUCGGAGAAAAUUCUGCACAGUGAAGUGUCUCAGCAAGUAGAAAGGCUGGCCCUUCAUGGGACUCCAGACUCUGACGUGUCCUUCCUUCUUUCUGAUUACUAUAAACUACAGCCGUGAAUCCAAUCAACUCUAAGAGUCCUAAGAGUCUUCCCAGAAGAUCACCAAACGUGGGGCUGUGGUGGGACCCUUGAAAGAGAUGUCAAGGGAUGCCAACAACACUGCAGAGAAUCUUACAUAAAGUUGGUAAAGACAGAAUUAUGCUAACUUAAAAGAAGAUUAACUUUUAAUUGUGUGUGUGUGUGUGUGAGGGGGGUGUAUGUGGGCGGGGGGUGGGUUAUGUGCAUGUGACAGUCUUAGAACACAUGUGUGAUUUCAAAUUGUCCCAUGAUGAAAUUUCUUGCUGCCCAACUCCUGUAAGCAAAAUAAGAAGUGCAUCAUACACACCCACUGGAAGGAUACAGUAAGUUACCAACACCGUCCCAAAUCGCUUCAUUAACAUUUUACCUGCCAAGUGCAAAAUAUUGGGGAACAUAUGGUGCCUUACCUUUGAAACUCUUGUCAGCCUGCCCUGUACAAUCAUUGAUGGUCAUUUUUAAUGAGGUGAGGUAGAAACUUAUGACUCGCUUUACCUUUUAAUGUACUUUAUGAGUUGAGCAUUUGAAUUCUGCAAUUUGAAGGGUACGGGAAUACUGCAUGUGUUGAAAGGGUGGUAACUUGUUCUAGAUCCUCUUGAAUCCUUGUUAAACGUUGGCUAGGUACAGGCAACCCUUUUCACUACUUUAGUUUUUUUUUUUUUCUUUUUUUCCUUUUACAAAAACCAUUUUUGGUCUGAAAAAUAUGGUUAAUAUUUUAUCCAACCUACAGGCAUUUGUGAAGAUCAUCAUAUUUGAAGAAGUGUCAGGCAUAUAAAAAAAACCAGCUACUCUUGGGCUUACUUUAGUUUACUUCUAAUGAUAUUGGAA